rnacentral:rRNA from 1 species
UACGUAGGGUGCGAGCGUUGUCCGGAAUUACUGGGCGUAAAGAGCUCGUAGGUGGUUUGUCGCGUUUGUCCGUGAAAAACUCACAACUCAAUUUGUGGGCGUGCGGGCGAUACGGGCAGACUGGAGUACUGCAGGGGAGACUGGAAUUCCUGGUGUAGCGGUGGAAUGCGCAGAUAUCAGGAGGAACACCGGUGGCGAAGGCGGGUCUCUGGACAGUUCCUGACGCUGAGGCGCGAAAGCGUGGGGGAGCAAACAGG